rnacentral:rRNA from 1 species
GACGAACGCUGGCGGCGUGCUUAACACAUGCAAGUCGAGCGGUAAGGCCCUUUCGGGGGUACACGAGCGGCGAACGGGUGAGUAACACGUGGGUGACCUGCCCUCAGCUCUGGGAUAAGCCUGGGAAACCGGGUCUAAUGCUGGAUAUGACUCCAUGACGCAUGUUGUGGGGUGGAAAGCCUUGUGCGGCUGAGGAUGGGCCCGCGGCCUAUCAGCUUGUUGGUGGGGUGGAUGGCCUACCAAGGCGACGACGGGUAGCCGGCCUGAGAGGGCGACCGGCC